rnacentral:lncRNA from 1 species
UUUUUUUUUAAGAUCUUAUUUAUUUAUUCAUGAGAGGCAGAGACAUAGGCAGAGGAGAAGCAGGCUCCCUGUGGGGAGCCCAAUGCAGAACUUGAUCCAGGACUCUGGGAUCAUGACCUGAGCUGGAGGCAGACGCUCAACCACUGACCCACCCAGGCAUCCCGUAUGUGGUCUUUUUGACUGGCUUCUUUCACUUAGCAUGUUUCUGAGGUUCAUCCAGGUUAUAGCAUGUAUCAGUAUUUCACCCUUUUGAUUGCCAAAUAAUAUUCCAUUAUAUAAAUAUACCUCAUUUUGUUUAUCUGUUUAUCAGUUGAAGGAUGCUGGGCUAUUCUCAAUUUUUAACUAUUAUUAAUAAUAUUGCUAUAAACAUUUUUGGGCAAGUUUUCUUUCAUUUCCCUUGCAUAUAUACCAUGUAGGAGUGGAACUGCUGGGUUAUAUGGUAACUUUAUGGUUAGCAUUUUGAUGAAGUGCCAAAUUGUACUCCAAAGUGGCUGUACGAUUUUGCAUUCCCACCAGCAGUACAUGAGAGCUCCAAUUUCUCCAUAUCCUUGCCAACACUUGUUAUAUAGUCCAUCUUUUUUUUUUAUUAUAGUCAUCCUAGUUGAUGUAAAGUGGUAUCUCAUGUGGUUUUUACCUAUAUGCCAUUAACUAAUUGUGUUAAGCAUUUCUUCAUGUACUUAUUGGCCACCAUUUCUAUAUCUUCAAAGAAAUGUCCACAUAAGUCCUCUGCCCAUUUUUAAUUGGGUUAUUUGGGUUUUUUGUUGUUGUUAUUGUUGAGUUGUAAGAGUUCUUCAUAUAUUCUGGAAACAAUUCACUGAAAUAAUGUGAUUCACAAAUUUUCCUCCUAUUCUGAGUUGUCUUUUCAUAUGUUUUUGAUGGUGUCCUCCGAAGCACAAAUUUUUAGAAAAAUAUUUUACUUACUUAUUUGAAAAAGAAAGAGAGAGGAUUACAAGAGAGUGAACAUGAGUAGGGGGAAGGGCAGAGGGAGAGGAAGAAGCAGACUCCCCUCUGAACAGGGAGCCUGACAUGGGGCUCGAUCCCAGGACCCUGGGGAUAGAGCUCAGCAGUUUGGGAAGAUGAAGAGUCCUGCAGAUGGAUGGUGGCAAGAGCUGUACAACAAUGUCACCGUAUUUAAUGCCACUGAACUGCACCCUUUAAAAAUAGUUAAAAUAGUAAAACAAAAACAAAAACUCCAAGGGCAGCAGUUGGUUAGUUUCCCAUCUUUGAGUUUUGGUUUCAUCACCUCACUCUUUCCUGGCAGCUUCGAUGCCAAUAGGUAACAUGGGCCCACAGCACAAAAAAGGCUCCAGCAGUCUAACAACAAGCAGUCUUCUGAGUUAAAUGAGACAGCAAAUGGGAAAGGCAGUUCCUUCUAUUGACUUCCAUAUUUGAGGAGAGUUUUAUAUAACGUGAACAUCGGGGAUUCGAACAGGCUGAUAAUAAGGAUGCUGCACCCCAGAGGAACUGGCAGAUUAGGAAUAAUUUUCAAUCCCCUGCACAGGAUUCGAUCUAACUCAACCUUUCUGAAUGAGAAUUCGGUAAAGGUUGCAUUGGACAACAAUGCAACCAGUCUGACUACCUGGGAGGCUCUGGUUUCUUCCCUCUGACACAAUAACACAUUUCUCAACUCUAUCAAAAGCCCGAACCACUUAUUUAUCCAUUAAAUAUGCUUAUUUAUCCAUUAAAUAUGAAAAGAAGAUGAUUAUGCAAUUUGGGAUCCAGACAUCAUUUUUCUGAAUGAGUUUAUGCAUAUGCUUGUUUACAACGAUCUCAUUUUUCUCCUGACUGCAUGUAAAAGAUCAUUGCAGUCUAAUAGUACACAAAUGUAGUCAUACUGUGAAAUCAUUAACCGCAGAGCUGUCCUGCUGAGAAGUAAGAGGAAAUGUCACAUAUGACCAAAGGCUAAAUUAUCUACCAAAUCAAGUCUUUGAAAAUUACAGACACAUUUAGUAGGCGCAAGACUAUACCAGAGUAAGAAAAAGUUCUAGUAAAGUGACUAUGAGAAUAAUCUAUGCUAAAAAGAGCUUCAAAAAUAGCAGCAAAAAAAACAUCUUUUGGGCAGCAACAGUUCAUUUAAUAACAAAUACUUAUUAAGCAUCUACUAUAUGCCAGGCACCACGCUAGGUUUUAGAAGUAUGAUAAAGAGUAAGACUCAGUCCCACCACAGGACCUCAGUGUCUAACAUGGGAGACAAAUAAGUAACAUAAGAUAUGAUAAAUGCAAUGACAAAAGAUGCACAAGGUGCUAUGAUGGCAACAGGAUCGUGGAAUGGCAUGGAGAAAUGAAGGAAGACUUGCUGGAGGGGAGAACUUAGGGUGCACAGAAGUAGGUAGGCCAAGAAGGUAGAGAGAGGGCUGGUGCUCCUAGGAGAGAGAACAGCAGGUGCAAGGAGAUGGCUUAGCAACUACCAGGUAAGACGCUGGGCUCUGGAGUCAGGAAGACCCAGGAUGCAGUGCCACUCCACCACUUGUUAAAUGAGUGACCCAACAAGUUAAUCUUUUCCAGCUUCAAUUUUUUUAUCUGUAAAAUGGCGAUAGCAAACUGUAGCUCCUUACAGGGAACUAAAUGAGGUAAGCACAGAAGGAAAGCUUGAUAAACAAUAGCCAUUAUCAUCAAGAUGAUUUUAACAGGAAGGUGUAUUAUAAGAAUUGAGAAAAGCAUUUGACCCUUGCAAUUUGCUUUGGAUUUGAUCUUCAACUUUCAGCCUUACCACAAUAUAUUCAUGUCCAAUAAAUGAUGAUGUCAGGGACAUGUAAACUGAUGUAACUUCUUUUAUAUAAACACAGAUGUUACAGUUAGGGUUAGGUUCAUUUGUGAGUAAGAGAAACCUAAAGUAUGAUUUAAACAAAAUUAAAACACAUUUCUUUUGUAUGUAAAAGUCCAGGGGCAGGUAGCAUGUGCCAAGUAUGCCAGCUCUGGCCCAUAAAAUCCCCACAAAAGCAAAAGUCCUCCAGUAUACUGUUCCUACAUCCUUCGAGUAUGGCCUUUAGUCUCAUGAUCCAAUAUGGUGGAUCUAGCUCAAUAGAGCUAGAGCUCUAAUUAUCCUGUGUUCCAGGCAGAGGGUGCAGCAAGGGAUAAACAAGAAAAAGAAGAUAAAAGGUACAUACCAUUUUUUCAAAAGGAUCCUAGAAGGUCACAAAUAAACCAUCCACUCAUGUUCUAUCAGCCAGAACUAGUUACCUAGCAUCCUCUGUGGCAAGGAAGGCUGAGAGAGGUAGUCAUUAUUCUGGAUGGCUAUGUGCCCAGUGAAAAUUUGUAGGUUCUCAUUUUUUUUAAGAUUUUAUUUGUUUAUUUGAGAGAGAAAGCACGAUCAGGAGGGGUAAAGGCAGAGGGAAAAAGAAUCUCAAGCAAACUCCACUCUGAGUGUAGAGCCUGACGUAGGGCUCAAUCUCAUGACUCUGAGAUCACAACCUCGGCUGAAUCCAAGAAUUGGAUGAUCAACUGACUGCCCCACCCAGUGCCCCUAAAACUUGUGGGUUCUGAAAAGAAGAGAAUGAAUGUCUAACAUAGCCAUUAGUUCCUGCAACAACAUUCAAUAUACUAGAAACUGAAAAUACAAUAAAUGGAUAUUUUAAAAGGAGGGCAUCACUGAUGUCACUAAGUGCUAAUUAUGAGAAAUUUGCAGAACUCUGGCUGCCAGGAUUGCCAAGAAUAACAGGAGAACUGGGUGCACAGAGGUGAGCCACAAAGGGGAUGAAAAAGGCUGCCCAUAAGUUACUUGGAGAUGAGCUCGUAAGAGCUCAGUGGCUCUUUUCCUUUUCUUUGUAGGUAAGAAUGUGAAAGCAAAUUAACUGAUGCUUUCAGAAAGCAAUACAACAAUAAACACAGGCAUAUUCUUUUAUCCAAAAAACUCAUUUCUUAUACUUUCUUCAACAAUGAAACAAACUGUAUGCACAUAUGUUUGCUGAAGGAUAUUCACUGAGAAAACAUAUGCUUUACUAUAGGAUUGAAUUACUAUACAAAACACUGUAUUGUAUUGUAUUGUAUUGUAUUAUACAGCCAUCAAAAAUAAAAAGCAUGUUCAAACUAAAACUGUCUUAUGAAGCAAACAAACUUUUUUAUUAUAAUUAGAUACACAUUAAAUGUAUACAGUUGUAGACAUGAAUUUAACUUUUUUUUAACACUGAUGACUGAUUAGGGGCUCCAAUCCCCAGACCAGUGAAAAGCUAGGUGGGCUUUAUGUAAAGUUAUAGGAAUUUUAAAAAUAUAAAUAAUUUUCUGUUCUGUGUUCCCAAAGAAUAAAAAAAAUUCAUCAACAGAGACAAAGUUAAUAUCACAUAACGUGGGACACCUGGGUGGCUCAGUGGUUAAGUGUCUGCUUUCAGCUCAGGUUGUGACCCUGAGGUCCUGGGAUCAAGUCCCACAUCAGGCUCCCCAUGGGGAGCCUGCUUCUCCCUCUGCCUGUGUCUCUACCUCUUUCUCUGUGUCUUUCAUGAAUAAAUAAAUAAAAUCUUUUAAAAAAUGACAUAACGUGUAUGACUUUAACUAUAACUAUAAUCAGCUACAAAGCUGACUGCUCUGAAUUUACCUCCUGUACUUCUCUGUAUCUCCCAAUGGAACAAAUAAUGAGUAGAUUACUGACAACAUGGAGACUACAAAAGCAAAGGAGUCAAAUUAUAACAAAGAAAUAACAGGACAGAUGUAAACUGAAUGAUCAAAAUCCAAUCCUCACCUCCAGAAUAACAAUAAUUAAAACUACAAUAUUUUAUUUUAUUUUUUUUUUUUAAUUUUUAUUUAUUUAUGAUAGUCACACAGAGAGAGAGAGAGAGAGAGAGAGAGGCAGAGACAUAGGCAGAAGGAGAAGCAGGCUCCAUGCACCGGGAGCCCGACGUGGGAUUCGAUCCCGGGUCUCCAGGAUCGCGCCCUGGGCCAAAGGCAGGCGCCAAACCGCUGCGCCACCCAGGGAUCCCAAACUACAAUAUUUUAGAAAAGGUUAACCUCUUCUGAAAAAUUCGCUCUUCUUUCCUGAAAAAAAAAAAAAAAAGCUCUCU